rnacentral:rRNA from 1 species
GGGCCCGCACAAGCGGUGGAGCAUGUGGUUUAAUUCGAUGAUACGCGAGGAACCUUACCUAGGCUAUAAUGUGAGUGAUCGGUGCUGAAAGGCACUUUUCCUUCGGGACACUUAACAAGGUGCUGCAUGGUUGUCGUCAGCUCGUGCCGUGAGGUGUCAGGUUAAGUCCUAUAACGAGCGCAACCCCUGUUGUUAGUUGCCAGCGAGUAAUGUCGGGAACUCUAGCAAGACUGCCAGUGCAAACUGUGAGGAAGGUGGGGAUGACGUCAAAUCAUCACGGCCCUUACGUCCUGGCUACACACGUGCUACAAUGGUAGGUACAGAGGGCAGCCACACCGCAAGGUGGAGCGAA